CAAGAAGCUGGGAGGGAGCAGGGCCAGGAAAGCUGACUGGAACUGGCCAAAGGGUGGAACAGAGAAGAGGCCCUGUGCAGGCAUGUGCUUCAGCUGCUGCCAGGGCACCCCGCUGCCCAGCAGCACGUCCCGGGCCCACUGCAGGUUCUGUGGAGACAACAGCAGGGUUCCAAAGUGGCAUUUGAGCUGCAGCUUUUGUACAGAAAGCUUCACAACAGAGGACAUGAAAGAAAGAGGAAGAUGUUUGGUUCAUAGAGACAAAUGAGAAUGUUGCACUCUUGUGUUCUAUGGACUGGAAAUACAGUCUGUGAGUCAUGAAUGUGAUUAAAUCAUGUCC